UCCCUGAUCUUUGGCAACGGCUCCUCUGCCGUAUGGCCUCUGCCGUUGGCCCACUGACAUGUGGGCCAGGUUCUUGCCGGGCCAACAUGUCAAUGAGGGAACGGCUGGGUGCCGUACGGCAGGGGAUUCUCGUCCCUGAUCUUUGGGCUUCUACAUACAACCGCAUCUAGCAAUCAAGCCAAUGCAAAUUCGCCACCUUCAUCAUGUCGCCAUUCCUGUGUAUAUACAAGAGACACUCAUUCAUCCACGUGUAGGGUGCGCGUGGGACUUGGACGAGAGAUGAGAAGGCCAUGCUUUCUGCGUGAGAGAGUGUUUGCUUUGGGUGUGUGUUUUCUUUGCGUGUUGUAGCCUUCUUCUUCUCCUUCUUCUUUGCUUGUUCUUAGAGAGACGAAGAGGAAAAAGGAUUAUAGAUAGAUCCGGGCACCGCUUGAUGUAGUAGGUACAGCCUCCAGCGUAAAUUCGCUGCCGUCGAGGAGCAGAUCCAAGCGUCGCUGGAUGAGGUGCCACUUGGACAUGGCCGAGGAAGUGCAGGAGGGCGGACGUACGACUUGUAGCAGGAGGGCUGCACUUCGACUCGGACACUAGCUAGAGCAUCAAUCUCCUGUCCUCCUUGCCAUUGGAUGUGAUGCUACAAGAUGUGUGUGCGUUAUCCCAAGACAGAAUAGGUACGUCGAUACCGAAUCCCCGAUCGAUCCAUGGUCGAUAUUGAGAACCCGCCUGCCCCCGGUGCUAGUCCCGACGCAGCGUCAGCGCCGGCGGAGCCCAGCCGGCACGGCUUCUGGGCAUGGAAGGAGAGGUUCGUCAUCACCUACUUCACCUACAACCCUCCCGACUUGGGAGACGACGAGGUCGCGGCCGUGGACGCCGACGAGUGCAGCAGGUGCGGCUUUCUUUGUGUGGGGUUUCUUGCCGGGUUCCUCGUUUUCCUCGGCUCCAUGCUUCUCCUAGUCUUCUUCCACCAGCAAUCCCAAUCGCCAUUGGAUCGGCGGUCUACGUGGCCACGCGCGUCCUCGCCGUGGCGGGCAUGGUUGUCGGGUUUUUCUCCGCCGGCCUCUUUCUUGACCUUUGGGACAGGAUGGAUAAGGGUGAUAAACAUGCAGAGGUGAUUAUAGACAGGAUGAUGUAGAAAUUUUUUGAACAGGUUCCCUAGUAAGAUAUCACUUCAUAUUCCAGACGUACAUCAUUGUUGUGAGGUGAUUAUAGAGAGGCAGAGGUCAUUAGACUUGUUAAUGUAAAUUCAAAUUGUACCAUGUACUCAUCCAUAUAUGCGUUUCUGAAUUGCAUAGUUUUGCUAAACAGAUUACAGAUGUAUGUAUC